rnacentral:lncRNA from 12 species
CAAACUCUGAGCUACAGUUUCCCCUGGAAGUCUAAGCAUAAUCUGUAAGUAACUUUUGUCACCAUAUAUCUGCUUUUCCCCUUCCCCCAAGCUUUCUUGCUCCUCCCUCCCAGCGAAUUCUCAUGUCUCUCUUGACCAGCUCUGUCACUGCAG